GAUGAAGAACGCAGCGAAAUGCGAUAAGUAAUGUGAAUUGCAGAACUCAGUGAAUCAUCGAAUCUUUGAACGCACAUUGCGCCCCUUGGUAUUCCGAGGGGCAUGCCUGUUCGAGCGUCAUUAUAACCCCUCAAGCUCAGCUUGGUGUUGGGGCCUGCUGCACUGGCAGCCCUUAAAAUCAGUGGCGGCGCCAUCUGGCUCUAAGCGUAGUAAUUCUUCUCGCUAUGGAGUCCUGGUGGAUGCUUGCCAUCAACCCCCAAUUUUUCUAUGGUUGACCUCGGAUCAGGUAGGGAUACCCGCUGAACUUAAGCAUAUCAAUAAGCGGAGGA
rnacentral:misc_RNA from 1 species